AUUGAACGCUGGCGGCAUGCCUUACACAUGCAAGUCGAACGGUAGCGCGGGGCAACCUGGCGACGAGUGGCGAACGGGUGAGUAAAGCAUCGGAACGUGCCCUGGAAUGGGGGAUAACGUAGCGAAAGUUACGCUAAUACCGCAUAUUCUGUGAGCAGGGAAAGCAGGGAAUCGCAAGACCUUGCGUUCUGGGAGCGGCCGAUGUCGGAUUAGCUAGUUGGUGGGUAAAAGCUACCAAGGCGACGAUCCGUAGCGGGUCUGAGAGGAUGAUCCGCCACACUGGGACUGAGACAGGCCCAGACUCACGGAGGCAGCAGUGGGGAAUUUUGGAC
rnacentral:rRNA from 1 species